UACGGAGGAUUCAAGCGUUAUCCGGAUUUAUUGGGUUUAAAGGGUGCGUAGGCGGUCUGAUAAGUUAGAGGUGAAAUCCCGGGGCUUAACUCCGGAAUUGCCUCUGAUACUGUUGGGCUAGAGAGUAGUUGCGGUAGGCGGAAUGUAUGGUGUAGCGGUGAAAUGCUUAGAGAUCAUACAGAACACCGAUUGCGAAGGCAGCUUACCAAACUAUAUCUGACGUUGAGGCACGAAAGCGUGGGGAGCAAACAGG
rnacentral:rRNA from 2 species